UUAUGUAUUUUAUGUGUUAUUUGCAUUUAUGCAAAUGUUUACUUUCGUUCUCCAACAAUGCAAAAAUUACUUGUUAAUUUUACGAAUCGUAUGGAUAAUUGCGAACUGUUUCUGGAUAAGAAUGAAUUAUAUAUUUUAGACAAAUACGUGAAACAAUUCAAAUUAAUUACGAUUAUUUUCACGAGUUCCGGUUCUCUUUAUGGUAUUUCGAUGACACUACCAAGUAUUUUAAGUGUUUUCUUCAAUAUUUUUGAGACAGUUAAUGGUGUGCAUGUAACCUUACCAUUUCCUGUUAAUAAUGUUUCUAACGCAG